AUUCCCUGCCCUGGAGGGUAAGAGGAGACUUGAAGUUGGAGACCGAAAUCCCAGGAGAAAGACUGGGACAAGGCUUGCGUUAGGUCUGGCCAAGCUCUGCUUCUAGAGACCUCAGGCAAAAUAUACAGAAUGUUCAGAGGAAGGAAACGAAGAAGACGACGUGCAAGAAAACUCAUUAUUCUCAUUUUACAUAUGAGGAAACAGGUUGAGUGACAUGCUCAAAGCCUCAUGAAUAAUUAGCAGUAGAACUGGAAAUUCAAGCUAAGGCUGAUACCGCAGCCUCCUGUCUUCUCCGUUGUUAACACUAUAGAAAACCUUCAUUUCAUGGUUUGGGACAGUACAAAGAAGAAAGAACAGAAGCCCAACAGAAUUCUCAGAGGCUACUUCUGAAGAUGUGAGACUCUUCCAAAUCCGACGGAGUAAAGUCUCCAGGCUUCUUCCCAUCUCUGCAGCAGAAGCCUAAACACUGCACCUCGCUGAGUGUCCGUGAAACUGAAGCCACAAAGCAGCCAGAGGGCGAGAAACAAGCUGCCCCACACAGGAUUAGCCUUCCAGUGGCUGCAGAGAGAGCCCUCGGCAAUAUAGGAGCCUCUUGGGCUAAAAGCCGAAAGCCCUGCUGUGAAGCCGACUCCGGACUCCCAGGCUGAAGGGUAUCAAGGUUAUGUACGCCACUGGGUGACCUUGACUCAUCUGGAGUAAAGACAGCCAGGAGCUGCUAAGACGCUAGCGCCCCAAGUGGCAGGAAACAAAGAAUAAAAGAAAGCAAAAAGUCACCCAUAGAAGUUAAACUUCCUAAUCAAGAAACAAAAGUCCAUUCCCUUUAGGGGCUUUUCUUCCUUCAUCACAGGUAUUUCCUACUCCUCUUCCCAAGCCGUAAGUCCCAGAGAAAAAUUUCUUGAGUCAAUAAACAGUCUCUCCAUAAGUUCACGUGAGUGGGAGGACCCUGACUGUGCAGCCACAAUCAGUCUCUAAAUGACCUCUUGUUAAGUGGAUGCUUCUAACAUAGAUCUGCGUGGCCAAGCAAUCGGCCACCCACCCAUACCCCACCCCACCCCGGGGGUGCGGAAGGACGUUGCAGUUCUCCCAGAGAGCUGCGCUAGCCCUGGAGAUGAGGAAGGCACACAGCUGAAUGAAAGCCGGCUUCCUGGGUGCCCAGUCAAAACACUGAGCAGUUCCCGACCAGGCCAGGCCGUGACAGCCCGACUCCCCCCACACUCACCCUGAAUUCUGCUGCUGCGAGCAGUCUGGAGUAAGACGGCUUGCUGGGCCCACUAGAGACACUGGAAGCUUCCCCAGCCUCUUCUUCCAACUGAGCUAGCCAGGCCCUCGCUAGCCUACUCUCCCUCACAAAACGGUCAGCGUCUCCUUGCUCUUACGUAUGUUCCCAGUGAUGGGACUGUGGGCCCUGCUGGGACAGGGUCAGAGCAGACUCUCAGGCCGGCAGCUGUACCUCUCCGUCCAAGUGUUUCACAACGGAAUCUCAGGUUUCAUCACAGGACUUCGGUUUCUAAGCACUUUCCUGACUCCUCCCCACUGCUGGCUCCGGUCUCCUUGGGGAUUUCCUCCUCCGAGUCCGUGGUCUCAGCGUCUAACACGAAGAGUUCUGCCUAGAGAGAAGGUCUGAGCCUUGACCAAGGUGGGAAUGGAUUGUGAGAAGCUAGGAAAAAAAAAAAAA